GGGUGAGUAACACGUGAGUAACCUGCCCCAGGCUUUGGGAUAACCCCGGGAAACCGGGGCUAAUACCGGAUAUGACCAUCUGUCGCAUGGUGGGUGGUGGAAAGAUUUUUUGGCUUGGGAUGGGCUCGCGGCCUAUCAGCUUGUUGGUGGGGUGAUGGCCUACCAAGGCGGCGACGGGUAGCCGGCCUGAGAGGGCGACCGGCCACACUGGGACUGAGACACGGCCCAGACUCCUACGGGAGGCAGCAGUGGGGAAUCUUGCACAAUGGGCGGAAGCCUGAUGCAGCGACGCCGCGUGAGGGAUGACGGCCUUCGGGUUGUAAACCUCUUUCAGCAGGGACGAAGCGUUUGUGACGGUACCUGCAGAAGAAGCGCCGGCCAACUACGUGCCAGCAGCCGCGGUAAGACGUAGGGCGCAAGCGUUGUCCGGAUUUAUUGGGCGUAAAGAGCUCGUAGGCGGCUUGUCGCGUCGACUGUGAAAACCCGUGGCUCAACUGCGGGCUUGCAGUCGAUACGGGCAGGCUAGAGUUCGGUAGGGGAGACUGGAAUUCCUGGUGUAGCGGUGAAAUGCGCAGAUAUCAGGAGGAACACCGGUGGCGAAGGCGGGUCUCUGGGCCGAUACUGACGCUGAGGAGCGAAAGCGU
rnacentral:rRNA from 1 species